rnacentral:misc_RNA from 1 species
CCGAGUGAGGGCCUCCGGGUCCGACCUCCAACCCCAUGUUAUUCCGACCCUGUUGCCUCGGGGGUGACCCGGCCUUCGGGCGUGGGGCCCCCGGCGGACCAACUCAAAACACUGCAUCUUUGCGUCUGAGUAUGAUAUUGAAUCAAUCA